GGGGAAGCUGACAGUGAGAAAUUGGUGGAGUCAAAAAGGCAGCAGAAUCCGGGGAACGAAGAGGCGAAUCUCAGUUUUGGACUGUUUGAUCACUUGACUGGAUAAGUUACUUUCUCCCAGAAGAUCAGCACACUCAUCUCCAGGAUUACGGUCUGCAGAAUCAGUUGAUCAAACAUCUAACCAAUACUUCAUCCAUUCAAUUCAUCAAUGGGAGAAACAUAUGAGAGGAGUGAUUUAUGUCCACUCAUGUCCACUUACUGGAGGAACAGUCCAACCAAUCAGCAGUGCUUGUGCCCUCGGUGGCUUUUUGGGUCAAUUUUUACCAGACUGAUCGCUGCCUUUGUGUGCCCGGACCAAGACUGGACUUUCAAUUUUGGCAGAAAAAUCAAGGUGAUUAACUGCAUCUGGAGUACCACGAAUCCUCUCCACAAAAGGAGGACAUCGCGACCUAGUGAGGAUCCCGAACCCUGAUUGGUUUCUGAUUACAUCAAAGGGACACUUAAAAGGGACUACACCUCCAGCGGUACCAUUGUGGUAAAGUUAUACCAUCAGGACUGUGCCGUCAGUCCUUUAUUACUCCCUUCAGCCAUCUGCAAUCCAGCCUAUCAAAAAUAGGAAUGGAUCACACUCUAUAGGCAGCUGUUAUUACUGUGACCCUUUUUCUUACUGUUUUUAUUGAUUUUUAAUGUUGUUUUUAUUUAUGUGUAAAGUAAUUAAAUGAAUACAUGUUUUUCAUUCAAUUCUUCUCACUCAUAGUAUUAUAGAUUCCUGUUAGCGCUGCUAUUUUUGUGUUGUUCAGGGAUGCCAACAAGGCCGUCUAUUUGUAUGGGCUUAAUGGGCAGUUGCCUAAGGACCCCAGGAGAAUAAGGGCCAUUGACUGAUACUUUAGAUGAGUUUUUCUGAGGGUAUACUAAUUGCCAUUUCUACCGGUGUGUGAGCUGUGCGAUUGCGUCAUGGCACUUUAUGUACCCUAUGCUGCUCUUCCUCUAUUCUCUUACACAGUACUCCGCUCGGGGGGUGGGAGGUUUGCAGCAUGGAGCGGUUGUUCCCACCAGCGUGUAUACAUGCCUUGGCAAUGAGCAUUACCCUUAACAAUGAGCAUUACCCUUGGCAAAGAGCAUUACCCUUAACAAUGAGCAUUACCCUUGGCAACAAACAUUACCCUUAACAAUGAGCAUUACUCUUGACAAUGAGCAUUACCCUUGGCAACAAACAUUACCCUUAACAAUGAGCAUU